GAUGAUUUGCAGCUGGUGAUUGACUCUGAAGUUGUGUGUUAGAUUCAGUUAGAUUCAACUUCGGGAUCCAACAGGACAUAUAUCUGAAGAACUUCACUUGCAACUACUGUAGUGCUCUCCUUAUGUCCCUUACUGAAGGGGGCUAAUAAUCCCUUUAUUUACCUACCUACCUGCCUACAGGAUCCAGAUGUUUAUUUUUACUGUAUAAAACCAGAAAGUGGGAAAUGGAACAUCACUGAGCAUAUUUGUGUCAAAUGCAAAUAACUGGGGCUUAAUUAACAAAGUGUUUUUAAAAUGAUGGUAUAAGCUACUCCAGUAUAUGUGUGUACACAGUGAAAGUCUUUCAUAACUAACCAAGUGAAAAUGAAAGUGUAGUAGGUCAUCACAGCCUGUACCAGUGAUUGAGCACCUGGUGAAGGAGCUUGGCCAGCCCUGGGAGCACAGGUGUGAGCAAUUCAGUGUGUGACUGGAAGAAAUGAACCCAGUGUCCACCCCUCCCUAACCUCAUUUAAGGGCUGACAACUAAAAGGGAAACGUCUGUACUUAGAGAUUACCUCCUUUGGAGUUUCUAGCAGGUCCUGUUCCUCAGAAAGGGCUUUCUCUUGGACCAACACAUUGGUAUUACCCUCAAGAACGAACUACAAAUGUAUGGUGGAAUCACGAGUUUGCUUUCAAGUGAAACUAGCUGGAAUGGACUGAUAUUCUUUAAACUAGCACCAAAAUUGCUUUACAUAUGCUUUCUGAUAUAAGUCCUAAAACUAAAGUAUUCAGUGAGUCUGAAUGUAACAGAAACUAGUGAAGAACAGCUGAGAAGUGGAAAUAAGGUGUAAUUACUCAAUUUGAUACUGCUGUUUCACAAAAAAUAUAUAAAGCAGAAAAAAGGUCCACAUAAACAACUGCCAGAACACUGUUUUGCUUUAAGAAUGUAUUUAUUAUCUUUGAAUUUCUAUUUCAUGCCGAACAUGGGAUGAGCUGUUGAAUUAUGAGUAAAGUAUCAUCAGGCUUAUAAAAGAUCAACUAUCCGUAUGUUCUACCCUUAAUUAUUUCAUCCACUAAUGAACUGGAUGUAUUUCUCCUUUUUUAUAGUGCUCUCCCUUUGGUUUAUUCUUCCAAAUGAAACAUGCCUGAGCUAUUAAUACUGGUUAUUUAUUUAUAUAUUUUCUUUAAGAAAAGUGCUAGUUGCUUUGAAUCAAUCCGCUUGGUUAUUCAGUGAUGAUUCCUUAGAGUAGACUUAAAUGAGAGUUGACAAUACUGUGGAGCUACCCCCAAUCUUCCACUCUGUGUUUGAAUUCUAUUACAAUGAACUCUGGUAGAGCAAGACCCUUGAAUGCAACGUUUUUACAGUUUAAUUACCAUCUAGUGUAUUAGACCAUGGCAAAAACACAGCUUAAUGAAAUGUAUAUCCUGUUUCAGUGAAUGUUCACUUGACAGCACUGUUAUUUUAAAACUUUAUCGAAGCUCUGUAAACUAAGCUUUCACCAUCUGUUCUACCUGCUAAUUAUAAAUGCAAAAAGAACAUAACUCACAAGUGUAUCAUAAAAGUGGAUAAUGCAAUUGAUUAAAUGGUAUUGCUGCGU
ensembl:lncRNA